GACGAACGCUGGCGGCGUGCUUAACACAUGCAAGUCGAGCGGUAAGGCCCUUUCGGGGGUACACGAGCGGCGAACGGGUGAGUAACACGUGGGUGACCUGCCCUCAGCUCUGGGAUAAGCCUGGGAAACUGGGUCUAAUACCGGAUAUGACUCCAUGACGCAUGUUGUGGGGUGGAAAGCCUUGUGCGGCUGAGGAUGGGCCCGCGGCCUAUCAGCUUGUUGGUGGGGNGAUGGCCUACCAAGGCGACGACGGGUAGCCGGCCUGAGAGGGCGACCGGCCACACUGGGACUGAGACACGGCCCAGACUCCUACGGGAGGCAGCAGUGGGGAAUAUUGGACAAUGGGCGAAAGCCUGAUCCAGCCAUGCCGCGUGAGUGACGAAGGCCUAGGGUUGUAAAGCUCUUUUGGCGGGGAAGAUAAUGACGGUACCCGCAGAAUAAGCU
rnacentral:rRNA from 1 species